rnacentral:rRNA from 1 species
AACAAACGCUGGCGGCGUGCCUAACACAUGCAAGUCGAACGCGAAAAUCGGCUUCGGCCGAUGAGUAAAGUGGCGCACGGGUGAGUAACGCGUGGAUAAUCUACCCUUCAGUUGGGAAUAACUUAUCGAAAGGUGAGCUAAUACCGAAUAAAAACUGCCUGACCACGGUCGGGUAGUCAAAGAUAGCCUCUGCUUGCAAGCUUUCGCUGAAUGAUGAGUCCGCGUACCAUUAGCUAGUUGGUGGGGUAAUGGCCUACCAAGGCGACGAUGGUUAGCUGGUCUGAGAGGAUGAUCAGCCACACUGGAACUGAGACACGGUCCAGACUCCUACGGGAGGCAGCAGUGAGGAAUCUUGCGCAAUGGGGAAACCCUGACGCAGCAACGCCGCGUGAGUGAGGAAGGUCUUCGGAUCGUAAAGCUCUGUCGGGUGGAAAGAAAUGUAGUGGGUUAAUAGCCUUCAUACUUGACGGUACCACCAAAGGAGCACCGGCUAACG